GAGCAGGUCUGUCCGAGCGUCCGCCAACCAAAAAACGUUGUCGUUUUCGGACGACAAGAGUGAAGAGCUGCAACGCCGACCCCCCACGGGGGUGGGCUGCACUCCUUGAAGAGACGUGCCCGUGGACCGCGAGACGCGGCGGUCCGAUGAGACGUCGUCGCGACAUCGUGAAAAGUUGCGUCGUGGCAUCUCGUCGGAACGCGGUGAGGUCCGUGCGGCGAAACAUCAGGAAGCAUACGACCAUCUGGACCUCGGAUCAGGCCA
rnacentral:misc_RNA from 1 species